CUCUCGGCUGUCCCAACGGGUCAUGGCGAGCCGUGCACACUCCUUCUUGGCUGGCUGCCAAGGCUGUUAGCUGUUCCUCCUGCCUUUUCUACUCGUCUCAGAGAAGGAGCGGAGCAAUCUUCCCAUCCAGGACCAGGUUUUGCUGUUAAAAUGCUCAAAUGUUUCGUAGCUCAUGUGGAGGAGGCCUUUUGUUAGGAACGUUCGUGGGGGGAGAGUGCUACUUGCCAGGAGCCCAAGGAAUGAUGUAUGUUGGCCCAUCGCAGAUGAGGGCUGAGGCAUCAGAAAGAAAAACCUUCACAAGUCUAUGGCCAUACCACCCUGAACACGCUUGAUCUCAGAAGCUCCUCAGGGUCAGGCCUGGUUAGUACUCGGAUGGGAGGAAAGCCUUCGCACGUCUGAGGAAGUGGGUCCCCAAGCCAACUCAUCUUCCUAGAAGCAACCUGAAAACUCUUCCAAUAAGUUCCGAUAAUAAAGCAUUUCAGCAUCCCACGUCCCGA